rnacentral:rRNA from 1 species
GACGAACGCUGGCGGCGUGCUUAACACAUGCAAGUCGAGCGGAAAGGCCCUUCGGGUACUCGAGCGGCGAACGGGUGAGUAACACGUGAGUAACCUGCCCUGGACUUUGGGAUAACCCUCGGAAACGGGGGCUAAUACCGAAUACGACUUUUCCUCGCAUGAGGUUUGGUGGAAAGUUUUCGGUCUGGGAUGGGCUCGCGGCCUAUCAGCUUGUUGGUGGGGUGAUGGCCUACCAAGGCGACGACGGGUAGCCGGCCNGAGAGGGCGACCGGCCACACUGGGACUGAGACACGGCCCAGACUCCUACGGGAGGCAGCAGGUGGGGAAUAUUGCACAAUGGGCGGAAGCCUGAUGCAGCGACG